GCUGGACGAGAAAGAAUCGCCGGGGAGGGGAGAGAGGGGCCCACGAUCUCCUGUGACUCAGUCACCCUGGCGUCUCCAUUUGACAAAUGAUGAAGCAGGAGCCUCAGAAAACAAUGUAUUGUCCAUCUUUAGCUAAGAGAGGUGAAUGGGAAGGCAAAUGGACCAGGAGGAGCCCUUGCGAUAAUCUUCAAAAAAAUCUGACAUGUCUAUGUUACUGCUACUGGGCAAGCUCUCAGCCCAGAGUCUUAUACACAAACUCUUCUGAACUCCAAACCCAUCUAUCCAACAGCCUACCAGAUGUCUCCACCAAGAUGUCUAAUAGCACAAACUCAGCAUAUCCGAAACAGAAUUCCUGAUUUAUGUCCCCACGCCCCACCUCCUGGAAAUUUGCUCUUCCCCAUCUCAGUUAAUGACGUCCUUCCAAUGGCUCAGGUCAAAAAUCUUGGUGUCAUCUGUGAUUCUCCUUCCUCUCACCCGCACGUCAAAUCCAUGAGAAACUUCUCUUCUGAUGGCUCCUGACUCCACUCCAGCCACAUCCUCGGAAUUCCUCAGACACAUCAGGCGCACUCCUGCCUCAUGGCCUUUGUACUGGUUGGCCCCUCUGCCUGAUCUCUCUGCCCUUUUGCAUCUUCUUGGCUUAAACGUCCCUUUCUCGGUGGAGCCCACCCUGCCACCCUAUUUAGAUGGCAAACCUCCCCCAUGCCAGCACCUCCAAUCUCCCUUGUUCUUUUUUUUCACAUUGUACUUACUUCUAGAAACCUAUAUGAUAUGCUUAUGUACGUACCACAGCUGGUCUGGCUGCUUGGCAGCUCUUACAGGGAGAUAAGGAGCUGUGGGUCUGCAGGACACACAGGAAGAGGGAACAAAAUUGAAUGGGGUCAAGAGAAUGAGAAGACAAGUCACAGACUGAGAGAAAAUCUUUGCAAAAGUCAUAGUUGAUAAAGGACUGGUAUCCAAAAUAUACAAAGAACCCUUAAAACUCAACCAUAAGAAAACAAACAACCUAAUUCAAAAAUGGGCAACAGACCUGAACAGACACCUAGCCAAAUAAGAUAUACACAUGGCGAAUAAGCAUAUGAAAAUAGGCAACAUCAUAUCCUUAUGGAUUUGAAAAUUAAAACAACAAUGAGAUGCCGCCACAUACCUAUUAGAAUGGGCACAAUCUAGAAAACUGGCAUCAUCAAAUGCUGGAGAGGAUAUGGAGCAACAGGAACUCUCAUUCAUUGCUGGUAGGAAUGCAAAAUGGUACAGCCACUCUGGAAGACAGUUUGGCAGUUUCUUAUAAAAUUAAAUAUACCCUUACCGUAAAAUCCAACAGUCGUGCUCCUUGGUAUUUACUCAAAUGAGUUGAAAACUUAUGUCCACACAAAAACCUGCACACAGAUAUCUAUAGCAGCUGUAUUCAUAAGUGUCCAAACUUGGAAACAACCAACAUGUCCUUCAGUAGGUAAAUGGAUAAAUUGCGAUACAUCCAGAUAAUGGGAUAUUAUUCAGUGCUGAAAAGAAAUGAGCUCUCAAGCCAUGAAAAGACAUGAAUAUUAAUCAUGGAUAAAGACAAAUGCAUAUUACUAAGUGAAAUAAGCCAAUCUGGAAAGGCUACAGACUGUAUGAUUCCAAUGGGACAUUCUGGAAAAGGCAAAACUAUGGAGAUAGCUAAAAUAAUGAGUGGUUUCCAGGGGCUGGAGGGAGGGAGAGAUGAGUGAAACACAGGGGAUUUUUAGGGCAGUGAAACUCUUCUGUAUGAUGCUGUAAUGAUGGAUAUAUGCCAUUAUCCAUCUGUCCAAACCCAUAGAAUGUACAACACCAAGGGUGAACCCUAAUGUGAACUAUGGACUUUGGGUGAUAACCACAUCUCCAUGUAGGUUCACUGACUAUAAUAAAUGUAACAUUCU